UAAGGCGCGCACCUGAGCGUCUGUGGGGGGUGCACUGAACAAUGCUGUUCCCUUUUUGUUGUGCAAAUAUGUCGUCAGAGACACCAGCACUGUACACUGUGGCCUGGGUUAUUCUUGAAAUGGAUAUGGUUGAAAAUGGAGAGAAAACACCCCAAAUAGUGGCAAUAAAUGUAAAUCGUACACUGUGUAAGUGUACGAUUGCACUUGGGAUUUAAUUGUUCAACAGCCAUAUUGGAUAGGAGCACCAGGGGGCGGCCUAGGCUUCCGAAACGUAACGCUUGGCGCAAGUUGCAUGCGGGACGGCUCUGGCAGACGGGAGUUUGAUCAGCUCUCUGAGCUGCUUGUUGCUAACGGUCUGGAUCACCCUAGUACCUAGGGCCGGGAUAGGCACUAAUGGGGGGGGCACUUCCAAGAUUUCGCUAAUGAGUUCGUCGUUUGGGAUCUGCUGUAUCAGCCAAGAGCGGCCCAUCCACAUGCCUGACGGGAGCGUCUACUGAACUUCCAGCUUUGUGGGGCAUGUUCUCCGGGGAAAAACCAGCACCGCACCCUGGUCGUCUUACUGCCUGUUACCGUACAUCCUGCCGGCACACACGCUGGGGUGUGAGGAGACCCAAGCGAAAUAGCCGGCACGUUGUUUCUACAUCUGAGCCGUGAUGUCCACAUCCGUGUUCAACCACCGAAAUUCAGCCAUACUUUGCCCAAAAGCAUCCAGAGCAAGCAGGGAUGGAUCCUAGGCCCUCUGUGUUGUCUGUGUGUACAACAAUUGCUUUGGAGAGUUUGACGUCCUCC